rnacentral:RNase_P_RNA from 1 species
UGAGUCGGACAGACGGUCGCGGCUUGAAUAACGAAAGGUUCAAGGUGAGGAAAGUCCGGGCUUCAUAGAGCAGGAUGCCUGAUAACGUCAGGUCGAGGUGACUCGCAGGACAGUGCAACAGAAAAUAACCGCCGUUUUAUAACGGUAAGGGUGAAAAGGCAGUGCAAGAGACUACCGCGCUUAUGGUAACAUGAGCGGCUGUGUAAACCCCAUCCGAAGCAAGACCGAACAGUGUUUAAGGGUUGCUCGCCUAUGCACGGGUAGGUCGCUUGAGUAUGCCGGUGACGGCAUAUCUAGAUAGAUGAUCGUCAGAUACAUAACCCGGCUUACAGUCCGGCUCAGUUA